rnacentral:rRNA from 1 species
UCCGUAGGUGAACCUGCGGAAGGAUCAUUACUGAGUGCGGGCUGCCUCCGGGCGCCCAACCUCCCACCCGUGAAUACCUAACACUGUUGCUUCGGCGGGGAACCCCCUCGGGGGCGAGCCGCCGGGGACUACUGAACUUCAUGCCUGAGAGUGAUGCAGUCUGAGUCUGAAUAUAAAAUCAGUCAAAACUUUCAACAAUGGAUCUCUUGGUUCCGGCAUCGAUGAAGAACGCAGCGAACUGCGAUAAGUAAUGUGAAUUGCAGAAUUCAGUGAAUCAUCGAGUCUUUGAACGCACAUUGCGCCCCCUGGCAUUCCGGGGGGCAUGCCUGUCCGAGCGUCAUUGCUGCCCAUCAAGCCCGGCUUGUGUGUUGGGUCGUCGUCCCCCCCGGGGGACGGGCCCGAAAGGCAGCGGCGGCACCGUGUCCGGUCCUCGAGCGUAUGGGGCUUUGUCACCCGCUCGACUAGGGCCGGCCGGGCGCCAGCCGACGUCUCCAACCAUUUUUCUUCAGGUUGACCUCGGAUCAGGUAGGGAUACCCGCUGAACUUAAGCAUAUCAAUAAGCGGAGGAAAAGAAACCAACCGGGAUUGCCUCAGUAACUGC